rnacentral:rRNA from 1 species
AGUCGGACGGGAUUGAGGAGCUCGCUUCUCAUGAGAGUGGCGCACGGGUGCGUAACACGUAUGUAACCUACCUUGUUCAGGGGGAUAGCCUCUCGAAAGAGAGAUUAACACCGCAUAAAAUCAAUUUAUGGCAUCAUAGAAUGAUCAAAUAUUUAUAGGAACAAGAUGGGCAUGCGGAACAUUAGCUAGUUGGUAAGGUAACGGCUUACCAAGGCUACGAUGUUUAGGGGAUCUGAGAGGAUGACCCCCCACACUGGUACUGAGACACGGACCAGACUCCUACGGGAGGCAGCAGUAAGGAAUAUUGGUCAAUGGACGCAAGUCUGAACCAGCCAUGCCGCGUGCAGGAAGACGGCCCUACGGGUUGUAAACUGCUUUUGUACCGGAAUAAACCUUUUCACGUGUGAGAAGCUGAAUGUACGGUAAGAAUAAGGAUCGGCUAACUCCGUGCCAGCAGCCGCGGUAAUACGGAGGAUCCAAGCGUUAUCCGGAUUUAUUGGGUUUAAAGGGUGCGUAGGUGGCCUAUUAAGUCAGGGGUGAAAGACGGUAGCUUAACUAUCGCAGUGCCUUUGAUACUGAUGGGCUUGAAUACACUUGAGGUAGGCGGAAUGUGACAAGUAGCGGUGAAAUGCAUAGAUAUGUCACAGAACACCAAUUGCGAAGGCAGCUUACUAAAGUGUUAUUGACACUGAGGCACGAAGGCGUGGGGAUCAAACAGGAUUAGAUACCCUGGUAGUCCACGCCCUAAACGAUGAAUACUCGAUGUUGGCGAUAUACGGUCAGCGUCUAAGCGAAAGCGUUAAGUAUUCCACCUGGGGAGUACGCCCGCAAGGGUGAAACUCAAAGGAAUUGACGGGGGCCCGCACAAGCGGA